rnacentral:rRNA from 1 species
AUUGAACGCUGGCGGCAUGCCUUACACAUGCAAGUCGAACGGCAGCACGGGUGCUUGCACCUGGUGGCGAGUGGCGAACGGGUGAGUAAUACAUCGGAACGUACCUUAUCGUGGGGGAUAACGCAGCGAAAGUUGCGCUAAUACCGCAUACGCCCUGAGGGGGAAAGCGGGGGACCGUAAGGCCUCGCGCGAUUAGAGCGGCCGAUGUCUGAUUAGCUUGUUGGUGAGGUAAAAGCUUACCAAGGCGAUGAUCAGUAGAUGGUCUGAGAGGACGAUCAGCCACACGGGGACUGAGACAAGGCCCAGACUAAUACGGGAGGCAGCAGUGGGGAAGUUUGGACAAUGGGUGCAACGCUGAUCCAGCAAUGCCGCGUGAGUGAAGAAGGCCUUCGGGUUGUAAAGCUCUUUUGUCAGGGAAGAAACAGCAGCUCUAGCACAGUCCGGGAAUGACGGUACCUGAAGAAUAAGCACCGGCUAACUACGUGCCAGCAGCCGCCGUAA